rnacentral:rRNA from 1 species
GACGAACGCUGGCGGUGUGCUUAACACAUGCAAGUCGAACGGCAAGGCCCUGCUUUUGUGGGGUGCUCGAGUGGCGAACGGGUGCGUAACACGUGAGUAACCUGCCCUUGACUUUGGGAUAACUUCACGAAACUGGGGUUAAUCCCGGAUAGGAGCUCCUGCUGCAUGGAGGGGGUUGGAUAGUUUCGGCGGUUGGGGAUGGACUCGCGGCUGAUCAGCUUGUUGGUGGGGUAGUGGCUUAGCAAGCCUUUGACGGGUAGCCGGCCUGAGUGGGUGACCGGCGACAAGGGGACUGAGAUACUGCCCAGAAUGCUACGGGAGGCAGGGGUGGGAAAUAUGGCACAAUGGGCGGAAGCCUGAGACAGCAUCGUCGCGUGCGGAAUGACGGGCUGCGGGUUGUAAACGGCUGUCGCUUGUGACGAAGCGUGAGUGACGGUAAUGGGUGAAGAAGCACCGGCUAACUACGUG